CAAUAGCGUAUAUUAAAGUUGUUGCAGUUAAAAGCUCGUAGUUGGAUUUCUGGGAGGGUGCCAAUGUCCGUCGUCGUACGUGUUGCAGCGGCGCCCUUCCAUCCUUCUGUUAACGACUUUGGGCAUUCAUUUGCCGGAGUCGGGCUCAGAUAUUUUACCUUGAGAAAAUUAGAGUGUUUCAGGCAGGCUAGGCCGGAAUACAUUAGCAUGGAAUAAUGGAAUAGGACUACGGUCUCUUUGUUGGUUUGAGGGACUGCAGUAAUGAUUAAUAGGGAUAGUUGGGGGCAUUAGUAUUUAAUUGUCAGAGGUGGAAAUUCUGGAUUUGUUAAAGACGACUAUGCGAAAGCAUUUGCCAAGGAUGUUUUUCAUUUAGUACUAGAAACGAAACGUAAAGGGGUAAGGGUACUAAACGGAAAGUACGGAAUUUACGAAGUAACCGUUACCCGUUCGUAGGAACGUACGUCCGAACCGGAACGGACCAACCAAC
rnacentral:rRNA from 1 species